GGGAACACCCAAGCCAUGAAGGUGUGUAUGUGGUCUGUAACAAUCUCUAGGUAGGUGAUAUGUGUCAAAGUAACAUCCACAUUAAUGUAAGGACCCAAGGUUUCCCAGAAGAAUAUUGCCCAGAGAAUAACACUGCUCCCACCGGCCUGUCUUCUUACCAUCCUGCUGACAUCUCUUCCCCAAGUAAAUGAUGCCCACACACCUGGCCAUCCACCUAAUCUAAAAGAAAACGUGUUUCUUCAGACCAAACAUUUUUCUUCACUUGUCCCUGGUCCAGUUCUGACGCUCAUAUCCUUUUCAACUGUGGGCAGGGGUCAUCAUGGGCACUCUGACUGGUCUGCAGCUACACAGCCCCAUACGUAGCAAACUGAAAUGCACUGUGUGUGUCCUGGCCCUUUUCUAUCGUGGCCAGCAUUAAGGUUUUCAGCAAUUUGAGCUUUUCUGUGAGAUUGGGCUAGACGUGCUCUUGUCAAAGUCACUCAGAUCUUUUAGAUCUUUUUGCUUGCCCAUUUGUCCUAGUUCCAAAACAUGAAAUUCAAGAACUGACUGUUCACUUGCUGUCCAAUAUAUCCUACCCCUUGACAGGGGCCAUUAUAAUGAUAUAAUCAACGUUAUUCACAUUUCAAUGUUGUGGCUGAUCAGUGUAGAGAUCUCCAAAGUUAAUAGAAAGUAAUAAUGGUGCCAAAAAGUGUAACUUUUCCUUUAAGUUCUUAUGUCCUCUCACCUUUCUGUUCUCAUAGUCACACCGGAUAACAGGUAAAUUGUACAGUGAGAAUGAUAUAAGGUUGUCAAUGUAUCAUAUAUUACUAGAACACCAUAUGGAAUCUCUGACACUGAUGACAAAAAGUAAAAUCUCUUCUGCUCUGUUUUAAGCCUUGAUGCGUAUAAGUAUACUGGAAAUAUUUUUUUCAAGGAUUGAAAUGAAUGACCCUUAAAAGUUUUACUAUAAACAUAAAAGAAAAAGAAAACACACCCGAGUUCCGAGAAGGAUGAGCACAUAAUUACUUUUCAGGAUAACUCGUAUACCACAGAGCGGUAAAAUGAAGAACAUGUAUAAAAUCUAUAUUUUUUUAUGUUUAAAUUUAGAUGCUCUCGAAGAGUGCAUAGUUAUUAUAAAUUGCAUUCAUGUUUUGCUCAACAUCAACCAUGGGCAAAAAUAAACAUUGAUGUAACAGAUGUUAUUAGCUUCCUGACAAAAAUACUAUCUAUUGUAUUCCAAAGUCCAAAAAGUCAGAAGAAAAGCUUUCUUCCAAUGUAACCAAAAGCUGAAUAAAAUAAAUCUUUGGUUUCGCAAUGCAUACUGUAAGAACAUCAGUGGUCUUAGGGGGCCAAUGACAUCGUUUCCUUUUCCCCAGUAGGAGUUGGAGCAAAACGCAAGUGUUUUUAGAAAAGGCUGUGUUUCCACUGAUAAAUUCUGGGAAAGGAAGGUGGCGUUGAGGGGAAAAGUCAGAUUUAGAACAUCCAGAACUGACUCACGGUCACUGAGAUUUGAAAAUGAUCCAUUCAAAGUACGAUUAUAUAAUCGUGCUGGUGUCAUUGUUCUUCAUUAAAGAGACACUUUCAUUAAAAGAUAAUUUAGAGUAUGUAUGUAUGUGUGUAUAUAUAUAUAUAUAUAUAAAACAUAAUUACAUACACACUGUAUAACAUUGUUCUACGUGUUUGCCAAAUUUCUUUAUCUAUCUGCUUUUCUGCGAUUUUUUUUUUUCUGGUUUUGCUUCACUUUAGAUUUUAUACUGCAUUGAAUGAUACUCAUAAACGCCAGUUUUUCUUAGAUACUGAUGUACAUAUUAGAGGUACACUAUAGUCCCCAAAGGCAUUUUGCUGUAAACACUGUCUUUUCAGAGAAAUGACGAUGUUUACGUUGCUCCCUAGAG